rnacentral:rRNA from 1 species
UACGGGGGGGGCAAGCGUUGUUCGGAAUUACUGGGCGUAAAGGGCUCGUAGGCGGCCAACUAAGUCAGACGUGAAAUCCCUCAGCUUAACUGGGGAGCUGCGUCUGAUACUGGAUGGCUUGAGUUCGGGAGAGGGAUGCGGAAUUCCAGGUGUAGCGGUGAAAUGCGUAGAUAUCUGGAGGAACACCGGUGGCGAAGGCGGCAUCCUGGACCGACACUGACGCUGAGGAGCGAAAGCCAGGGGAGCAAACGGG